rnacentral:tRNA from 1 species
GUUCUUGUAGCUUAUCCACAAAGCAUGUCACUGAAGAUGCCAAGAUGGUCGCCAAACGCACCCAAGAACA